GCGGGUUAUUUUAGCAGCCAGAACCCCAUGGGGGGGGGUGGCCCCCUCCCCCCUUUAAAUAAACCCCCCCCCCCCCUCCCAGGGUUCCCCCCUCACUUUCUUUGCCAUCAUUAAAAUGGGGCCUAAAAUUCGGUUGCCCCCCCCCGGGAGACCCCCCCCCCCCACAAAUUAUUUUUUUUCUCCCCCCCUUUUAAUCUGGGUAGCUUUUUUAGGUUGGGGGGGCCUCCCCCCCCCCCUUUUUAAAAUUUUUUUUCCCCCCCCCCCCCCCGGGAAACCUCCCCCCCCCUUGGGAAUUUUUUUUCCCCCUCCCCAUUCCCCCUUAAUAAACACAACCCCCCCCCCCGUUUUUCCCCCCCUUUUUUGUGGCCAACUUGUUGGGGUUUUUCCCGGGGGUGCCCCCCCCCCCCUUUUGGGGGGGGGGUUCCCCCCCCGGCGCGGCCCCCUUUGGAUACGGGCCCCCCGUUUUUUUUGGGGGGGCCCCCCCCCCCGGGGGAUGGGGCCUUUGGUUUUUUCCUCCCACCCCGGCCACCCCGAAAAUGUUAGAGGCCUUUGGGGGUUUACACUUUUUCCCCGCAAAAGGCUUCGAUUUGAUUCCCCCCCGAGGGACCCUUCGAUUAAGCUCCGGCUUUGGUCCGCACCCGCGUCCUUCAGGGUGCGGGCGUCCCGCAUUAUGGGCUAAGCGUGCGCAGCGGUCUUUAGUGGUGUAAACCCCCGGGCUAUCGUGGGGUCUCCUUGAAAAUGGGGAUUGAAAAAAGGAUGGGAAUUUCCCGAGGAGCGUGAAUUCGUUGACAUUGGAGGAACUCCGGGAAGCGACCUUUUGGCUGUAACUGACAUGGGCUCGAAAGUGGGGAGCCAACCGGAUUAGAUUCCCUGGUAGUUCGCCGUAAACGAUGAGUGCUAGCGUUAGGGGUUUCCCCCUAGUGCCGAAGUUAACGCGUAAGCACUCCGCCUGGGGAGUACGGUCGCAAGACUGAAACUCAAAGGAAUUGACGGGGGCCCGCACAAGCGGUGGAGCAUGUGGUUUAAUUCGAAUGCAACGCGAAGAACCUUACCUGGCCUUGACAUCCUUGGAACUCCCCGAAGAAUGGGAGGGGCCUGCGGGAA
rnacentral:rRNA from 1 species